rnacentral:rRNA from 1 species
GAUGAACGCUGGCGGCGUGCCUAAUACAUGCAAGUCGAGCGAACGGACGAGAAGCUUGCUUCUCUGAUGUUAGCAGCGGACGGGUGAGUAACACGUGGAUAACCUACCUAUAAGACUGGGAUAACUUCGGGAAACCGGAGCUAAUACCGGAUAAUAUUUUGAACCGCAUGGUUCAAAAGUGAAAGACGGUCUUGCUGUCACUUAUAGAUGGAUCCGCGCUGCAUUAGCUAGUUGGUAAGGUAACGGCUUACCAAGGCAACGAUGCAUAGCCGACCUGAGAGGGUGAUCGGCCACACUGGAACUGAGACACGGUCCAGACUCCUACGGGAGGCAGCAGUAGGGAAUCUACCGCAAUGGGCGAAAGCCUGACGGAGCAACGCCGCGUGAGUGAUGAAGGUCUUCGGAUCGUAAAACUCUGUUAUUAGUGAAGAACAUAUGUGUAAGUAACUGUGCACAUCUUGACGGUACCUAAUCAGAAAGCCACGGCUAACUACGU